rnacentral:rRNA from 1 species
GAGCACGUAGGUGGGUUUGUAAGUCAGAUGUGAAAGCCUUCUGUUCAACGGAAGAAUUGCAUCUGAAACUGCGAGUCUUGAGUGUAGGAGGGGAGAAUGGAACUUCUGGUGGAGCGGUGAAAUGCGUAGAUAUCAGAAGGAACGCCGGCGGCGAAAGCGAUUCUCUGGCCUAUUACUGACACUCAGUGUGCGAAAGCUAGGGGAGCAAACGGGAUUAGAUACCCCGGUAGUCCUAGCCGUAAACGAUGGGCACUAAGUAGAGGGAAUUACCGAUAUUCUCUCUGCCGUAGCUAACGCAUUAAGUGCCCCGCCUGGGGAGUACGGCCGCAAGGCUAAAACUCAAAAGAAUUGACGGGGGCUCGCACAAGCGGUGGAGCAUGUGGCUUAAUUUGAUGCAACGCGAAAAACCUUACCGGGGCUUGACAUGAUAGAAGUAGGAACCCGAAAGGGUAACGAACGGUAUCCAGUCCGUAGCUAUUACAGGUGUUGCAUGGCUGUCGUCAGCUCGUGUCGUGAGACGUUGGGUUAAGUCCCCUAACGAGCGAAACCCUUGUUUUUAGUUGCCAUCGGGUUGUGCCGGGCACUCUAGAAAGACUGCCGUCGUCAAGACGGAGGAAGGUGGGGACGACGUCAAGUCAUCAUGGCCCUUAUGCCCCGGGCUGCACACGUGCUACAAUGGUCGGUACAAACGGAAGCGAAGCCGAGAGGUGAAGCGAAUCC